UGGAGACCAUGAAUGGAGUGAGAGAUCCACUUCAUUCUUACAACAGACACCAAGUGUUCCGAUCCUGAUGAAACCUUUUGAAGAUCAAGAAAGGAGUGGAAGAUCCACUUCUUCCUUACAACAGACACCAAGUGACUUGACUGAACCCUCUGGAGACC